rnacentral:rRNA from 1 species
AGAGUUUGAUCUUGGCUCAGGAUGAACGCUGGCGGCGUGCUUAACACAUGCAAGUCGAACGGGGAUUAUUUUGACAGAGACUUCGGUUGAAGUCGUUAUAAUCCUAGUGGCGGACGGGUGAGUAACGCGUGGGUAACCUGCCUCACACUGGGGGAUAACAGUCAAAAAUGACUGCUAAUACCGCAUAAGCGCACGGGAUUGCAUGAUCCAGUGUGAAAAACUCCGGUGGUGUGAGAUGGACCCGCGUUGGAUUAGCCAGUUGGCAGGGUAACGGCCUACCAAAGCGACGAUCCAUAGCCGGCCUGAGAGGGUGGACGGCCACAUUGGGACUGAGACACGGCCCAGACUCCUACGGGAGGCAGCAGUGGGGAAUAUUGCACAAUGGGGGAAACCCUGAUGCAGCGACGCCGCGUGAAGGAAGAAGUAUCUCGGUAUGUAAACUUCUAUCAGCAGGGAAAAAAAUGACGGUACCUGACUAAAAAGCCCCGGCUAACUACGUGCCAGCAGCCGCGGUAAUACGUAGGGGGCAAGCGUUAUCCGGAUUUACUGGGUGUAAAGGGGAGCGUAAAAGGGAGCACCAAGUCUGAUGGUGAAGGGCGGGGGCUCACCCCCCCCGCCUGCCUUUGAAAACUGUUGAUUUUGAGUCCCGGAGAGGAAAGCGGGAAUUCCUAUUGUAGCGGGGAAAAGCGUAGAUAUUUAGGAGGACCCCCACUGGCGAAGGCGGCUUCCUGGACGGUAACUGACGUUGAGGCUCGAAAGCGUGGGGAGCAAACAGGAUUAGAUACCCCGGUAGUCCACCCCGUAAACGAUGAAUACUAGGUGUCGGGGGGCAGAGCCAUUCGGUGCCGCAGCAAACGCAGUAAGUAUUCCACCUGGGGAGUACGUUCGCAAGAAUGAAACUCAAAGGAAUUGACGGGGACCCCCCCAACCGGUGGAGCAUGUGGUUUAAUUUGAAGCAACGCGAAGAACCUUCCCAAGUCUUGACAUCCCUCUGACCGGCGAGUAACGUCACCCCUCCUUCGGGACAGAGGAGACAGGUGGUGCAUGGUUGUCGUCAGCUCGUGUCGUGAGAUGUUGGGUUAAGUCCCGCAACGAGCGCAACCCCUAUCCUUAGUAGCCACCGGUUUGGCCGGGCACUCUGAGGAGACUGCCAGGGAUAACCUGGAGGAAGGCGGGGAGGACGUCAAAUCAUCAUGCCCCCUAUGAUUUGGGCUACACACGUGCUACAAUGGCGUAAACAAAGGGAAGCGAGAGAGUGAGCUUAAGCAAAUCCCAAAAAUAACGUCCCAGUUCGGACUGCAGUCUGCAACUCGCCUGCACGAAGCUGGAAUCGCUAGUAAUCGCGGAUCAGAAUGCCGCG